GGUAUAUGCUUGUCUCAAAGACUAAGCCAUGCAAGUCUAAGUAUAAGUUAUUCUGAAGACGAAACUGCGAAUGGCUCGGUAAAACAGCAAUAAUUUCUUCGGUGAUGAGUUUACUCACGGAUAACCGUAGUAAUUCUAGAGCUAAUACGUGCUGAAAUAAGAUGGGGUUCGCUCCAUCGUGCCGUUUAGAUAACAACACCAACAUUUGGUGAUUCAUAAUCGUCUUUCUGAUCGCUUGUGCGACGCACCGUUCAAAUUUCUGACCUAUCAACUUUCGAUGGUAAGGUAGUGUCUUACCAUGGUGGCAACGGGUAACGGACCGUGGGUGCGGGACUCCGGAGAGGGAGCCUGAGAAACGACUACCACAUCCAAGGAAGGCAGCAGGCGCGCAACUUGCCCAAUCCAGACUCUGGGAGGCAGUGACAAGAAAUAUCAAUAGGGGAUCCUAUGGGUCUUCUAAUUGGAAUGAGAACAAGCUAAACAGCUUAUCGAGAAUCCAGCAGAGGGCAAGUCUGGUGCCAGCAGCCGCGGUAAUUCCAGCUCUGUAAGCGUAUACCAAAGUUGUUGCAGUUAAAACGCUCGUAGUCGGAACUUGGCCAUUCCGGAAGUGUGCACGUCGUGUGCGCGCUUUGCGGGGAUAGCUUUUGUGGUUUUGCGUAG
rnacentral:rRNA from 1 species